UACGGGGGGGGCAAGCGUUGUUCGGAAUUACUGGGCGUAAAGGGCUCGUAGGCGGCCAACUAAGUCAGACGUGAAAUCCCUCGGCUUAACCGGGGAACUGCGUCUGAUACUGGAUGGCUUGAGUUCGGGAGAGGGAUGCGGAAUUCCAGGUGUAGCGGUGAAAUGCGUAGAUAUCUGGAGGAACACCGGUGGCGAAGGCGACUUCCUGGACCAAUACUGACGCUCAGGUGCGAAAGCGUGGGGAGCAAACAGG
rnacentral:rRNA from 1 species